UCUGCCGACACUACUUGGCUAAUAGAAAAUCAAAUUGCAGCGGGGAAAGAGGCAAUCAGCCCCACUUUGGGCUUUGGGUAUGCAUGUUGUUGUUUUCUCACACUCGGGGGCCAUGUGACCUCGCGAGGAGAGCGCUAUCCCCACUUAACGGGUUUGCCCCACUUGCCCUAAAUGACCUGUCGCCUCUACAAGCAUACAGCAUUUACAUGACACACGGGCGGCGUUGAGGUUGAGGGCCGAUUAGAGCGCAAAAAGCCCGCCGGCCCUGCUCUCUGGCGUCUCUGAGGUGUCCGUCGAUGAGAAGGCAACUUGCCAAUUUUGGCUUUUUUUUUUUUCCCUCUUUAACCCCCCUCUCCUCCCUUCUCCCCGUGUCACCACCAGGGCCGACCUCGCCCCGUCAGGAUCACAAGGAGAAAGUGGUGGAGCCAAAAAGAUAGGGCGUUUGAGUAGAAAUACAGAGCAGGGCAGUGUGUGUGUGGUGUCUGCUUGUUUGUCUGAGAGCAUUGGGGGAAAAAAAAAGGAAGUUGUGGGUUGUGAGGCCGGAAUCUCGGUCACACCUCCGUCUGAAGGUCCAUGAUCUCCUGGCCCACCAGAGGAAUGGUGGCGCUGGUCUUCUCCCACUC